UGCAGAUGACUUGACAUAUUUGCUCUCUUAAAAGGGAUAUUGACACCCACUAGGAUCACUGAUGCA
ensembl:snoRNA SNORD24 Small nucleolar RNA SNORD24